rnacentral:rRNA from 1 species
GGGGGAAUAUUGCACAAUGGGCGCAAGCCUGAUGCAGCCAUGCCGCGUGUGUGAAGAAGGCCUUCGGGUUGUAAAGCACUUUCAGCGAGGAGGAAGGCAGUCGUGUUAAUAGCACGGUUGAUUGACGUUACUCGCAGAAGAAGCACCGGCUAACUCCGUGCCAGCAGCCGCGGUAAUACUGAGGGUGCAAGCGUUAAUCGGAAUUACUGGGCGUAAAGGGCGUGUAGGCGGGCUUGUAAGUCGAAUGUAAAAACCAGGGCUUAACCCUGGGGCUGCGUUCGAAACUGCGAGUCUUGAGUCUGGUGGAGGGUAAUGGAAUUCCUGGUGUAGCGGUGAAAUGCGUAGAGAUCGGGAAGAACACCGAAGGCGAAGGCAGUUACCUAGUGCCGAGACUGACGCU